rnacentral:rRNA from 1 species
UACGUAGGGGGCAAGCGUUGUCCGGAAUCAUUGGGCGUAAAGCGCGCGUAGGCGGCCCGGUAAGUCCGCUCUGAAAGUCCAGGGCUCAACCCUGGAAAGCGGGUGGAUACUGCCGGGCUAGAAUCCGGAAGAGGCGAGUGGAAUUCCUGGUGUAGCGGUGGAAUGCGCAGAUAUCAGGAGGAACACCCAUUGCGAAGGCAGCUCGCUGGGACGUUACUGACGCUGAGACGCGAAAGCGUGGGGAGCAAACAGG